CUUGCAUGACCAGUUUCUUGUUGAUACAUUUUAUUAUUAAGUGAAUGGCAGAAGGAAGGGUCCCCCAGCUUUGCAUUUAAGUCUUCACUUCAGAAGACAAAUUCUCCUGGUUGGUGCAGAUGCUCUGGAGCAGGAGAAGAGCCACAUUGCCAAUGACCUAUGAAGACAUUGAACUGGUGUCUAGUUAGGAAGACUGGUCAGAACCACAAGGAGGUGGAUGACGCCAAGAGAUGUUGUGGCCCCUUGCCAGAUGGGGUCAAGGAAGACUGCCCAGUAGAGUUAGAGAAUGGUGAUUCUGACGCAAAAACUUUGGGCGUUCUUGGCUCCAUGGCCUUUGAAUAGAGAACAGAUCUGUUCCCUGGCCCCUACGCCAUGGUAGGAUUUAUGGAG
ensembl:lncRNA